AGUUAUAAUUUGCGAGGUUAGAUCAGGCUGCGCCAUGGCGUCCGCUACUGCUGUCAAGAUCGCCGCCAUCUUCAUGCUGGUGCUGACCAUGGGCCACCUGAUGGCCGAAGCAUCACCGCAGCCUCGGCGCCUGCUUGCAGAAACGGAGCAUGCUGGGGUGUCUGGGAAUGGGAAUCCUGGCCUCCCAGGCGAUGCUAGCGUCAUGCAGGUCCUCGAACCCGCCCUAGCUUCUGUUGUUGCCUGCAAACGAGGGUGCUUACUCCCUUUGCCUCUUCCUGUAUGUGUCUGCUAGAUCCUCUUCCUGGCUCAACGGAACUUCAGGGAAAUGGCUGUGUGACGUCGGCCAAAGAAUAAAUUGGCUGAACAUAAUAUACCCCGGGUAGUGUAGCUUGGGCUUUUGUUCAGCGUCU
rnacentral:lncRNA from 1 species